rnacentral:rRNA from 1 species
AGUGAACGCUGGCGGUAGGCCUAACACAUGCAAGUCGAACGGCAGCACAGUAAGAGCUUGCUCUUACGGGUGGCGAGUGGCGGACGGGUGAGGAAUACAUCGGAAUCUACUUUUUCGUGGGGGAUAACGUAGGUAAACUUACUCUAAUACCGCAUACGACCUACGGGUGAAAGCAGGGGAUCUUCUGACCUUGCGCGAUUGAAUGAGCCGAUGUCGGAUUAGCUAGUUGGCGGGGUAAAGGCCCAGCAAGGCGACGAUCCGUAGCUGGUCUGAGAGGAUGAUAGGCCACACUGGAACUGAGACACGGUCCAGACUCCUACGGGAGGCAGCAGUGGGGAAUAUUGGACAGUGGGCGCAAGCCUGAUCCAGCCAUACCGCGUGGGUGAAGGAGGCCUUCGGGUUGUAAAGCCCUUUUGUUGGGAAAGAAAAGCAGCAGGUUAAUACCCCGCUGUUCUGACGGUACCCAAAGAAUAAGCACCGGCUAACUUCGUG